AGAGUUCAAGAGUACGUGAAACCGUUCAGGGGUAAACGGGAGAAAUCCUGAAUUCGAAUGGGGUAUGGAUUCAAGUCCAUCCGGUUGCGAAAACGGACUGCCACCCACCAGAUGUUGCUGGUCGCCCGCUGCGAUUAACUUCGUUUGCGGUGUCGUUCCCGGCGUACACUCGGUAGGGAGGGCGAUGUAUUCCGGCAACGGAGGAGUGCACUUCCCCCCUAGUAGAAACGUCGCGACCCGUUGGGUGCCGGUCUAAGGCCCGGGAUGGCAGACCACGUGUCCUGCGGGGGCUCCCGCAGGCAUGCGGACUCCUGGUGACCCGGCUGGCUGCCCGACGGUAUGACCAGAGGAGUCGAUCCGCUAAAUGGGAAUCACUGUGGUUGUGAAGCGUCCGGCCUGGUGCCGAUGCGUGCGGGGAUUGAGGUGUAAACCGGGGGUGCCCGUGCGAAGCACGGCCCCGGCCCUGCUGCGUACUCGGUGCCGGUGUCCUCGGACUGGAUCUGUUCUCCCGUCUGCGACGCCCAUCUUCGGAUGGUCUCGCC
rnacentral:rRNA from 1 species